CCUACGGGAGGCAGCAGUGGGGAAUAUUGGACAAUGGGGGGAACCCUGAUCCAGCGACGCCGCGUGAGUGAAGAAGUAUUUCGGUAUGUAAAGCUCUAUCAGCAGGGAAGAAAAUGACGGUGCCUGACUAAGAAGCCCCGGCUAACUACGUGCCAGCAACCGCGGUAAUACGGAGGGGGCAAGCGUUCGCCGGAUUUACUGGGGGUAACGGGAGCGUAGACGGUGCAGCAAGUCUGAUGUGAAAGGUCGGGGCUCAACCCCGGGACUGCAUUGGAAACUGUUGAACUUGAGUACAGGAGAGGUAAGCGGAACUCCAAGUGUAGCGGUGAAAUGCGUAGAUAUUAGGAGGAACACCAGUGGCGAAGGCGGCUGACUGGACUGUAACUGACGUUGAGGCUCGAAAGCGUGGGGAGCAAACAGGAUUAGAUACCCGGGUAGUC
rnacentral:rRNA from 1 species